CCUACGGGGGGCUGCAGUGGGGAAUAUUGGACAAUGGGCGAAAGCCUGAUCCAGCCAUGCCGCGUGUGUGAAGAAGGCCUUCGGGUUGUAAAGCACUUUCAGUGGGGAAGAAAGCCUUGGGGCUAAUACCCUCGAGGAAGGACAUCACCCACAGAAGAAGCACCGGCUAACUCCGUGCCAGCAGCCGCGGUAAUACGGAGGGUGCGAGCGUUAAUCGGAAUUACUGGGCGUAAAGCGCGCGUAGGCGGUCUGAUAAGCCGGUUGUGAAAGCCCCGGGCUCAACCUGGGAACGGCAUCCGGAACUGUCAAGCUAGAGUGCAGGAGAGGAAGGUAGAAUUCCCGGUGUAGCGGUGAAAUGCGUAGAGAUCGGGAGGAAUACCAGUGGCGAAGGCGGCCUUCUGGACUGACACUGACGCUGAGGUGCGAAAGCGUGGGUAGCAAACAGGAUUAGAUACCCUGGUAGUC
rnacentral:rRNA from 1 species